ACGAACGCUGGCGGCGUGCUUAACACAUUCAAGUCGAACGGAAAGGCCCUGCUUUUGUGGGGUGCUCGAGUGGCGAACGGGUGAGUAACACGUGAGUAACCUGCCCUUGACUUUGGGAUAACUUCAGGAAACUGAGGCUAAUACCGGAUAGGAGCUCCUGCUGCAUGGUGGGGGUUGGAAAGUUUCGGCGGUUGGGGAUGGACUCGCGGCUUAUCAGCUUGUUGGUGGGGUAGUGGCUUACCAAGGCUUUGACGGGUAGCCGGCCUGAGAGGGUGACCGGCCACAUUGGGACUGAGAUACGGCCCAGACUCCUACGGGAGGCAGCAGUGGGGAAUAUUGCACAAUGGGCGGAAGCCUGAUGCAGCAACGCCGCGUGCGGGAUGACGGCCUUCGGGUUGUAAACCGCUUUCGCCUGUGACGAAGCGUGAGUGACGGUAAUGGGUAAAGAAGCACCGGCUAACUACGUG
rnacentral:rRNA from 1 species